rnacentral:rRNA from 1 species
GUAGAGAUGUGGAGGAACACCGAUGGCGAAGGCAGCCCCCUGGGAUGACACUGACGCUCAUGUACGAAAGCGUGGGUAGCAAACAGGAUUAGAUACCCUGGUAGUCCACGCCCUAAGCGAUGUCAACUGGUUGUUGGGGGAGUGAAAUCCCUUAGUAACGAAGCUAACGCGUGAAGUUGACCGCCUGGGGAGUACGGUCGCAAGAUUAAAACUCAAAGGAAUUGACGGGGACCCGCACAAGCGGUGGAUGAUGUGGAUUAAUUCGAUGCAACGCGAAAAACCUUACCUACCCUUGACAUGUCCGGAAUCCUGCAGAGAUGCGGGAGUGCCCGAAAGGGAAUCGGAACACAGGUGCUGCAUGGCUGUCGUCAGCUCGUGUCGUGAGAUGUUGGGUUAAGUCCCGCAACGAGCGCAACCCUUAUCAUUAGUUGCUACGCAAGGGCACUCUAAUGAGACUGCCGGUGACAAACCGGAGGAAGGUGGGGAUGACGUCAAGUCCUCAUGGCCCUUAUGGGUAGGGCUUCACACGUCAUACAAUGGUCGGUACAGAGGGUUGCCAAGCCGCGAGGUGGAGCCAAUCCCAGGAAGCCGAUCGUAGUCCGGAUUGUUCUCUGCAACUCGAGAGCAUGAAGUCGGAAUCGCUAGUAAUCGCGGAUCAGCAUGUCGCGGUGAAUACGUUCCCGGGUCUUGUACACACCGCCCGUCACACCAUGGGAGUGGAAUCUGCCAGAAGUAGGUAGCCUAACCGCAAGG